ACAUAGCAGAGAGGAGGCUCAGAGGCAGGUUUAGGUAAGGGUCACGCUCAUGAGUCACCCCUGUGUGGGACUGUGGAUAAAUCACUGCAUCUCCCUGGAUGUCUCUGUGUUCCAAGGUUUGGUUUAUAAAGUAUCCGGGAUCAAAUCUGACCUUGCUGUGAAAAUGUGGAUGUGCUGGACUCCCUACUGAUAAACUCCACCUACUCUUUUAAUUUACUGCCCACAUCUUCCCUUCUGUGACUCCAAGAUCACCUCGAGAUGGAACAUCUCAUGGAAUGGCUCUGGAGGUGGAGAAACUCUCAGACAAGAGCCAUUGAUCACAGCAAGAAAUCAAUACUGCGCUCUCAUCAAAGCCAACACCUCCAUCCCCAUCCCAUCAGUGGGGCUGGAAGGGAACCAGCACUGCAGAAACUGUUCCUAUGAAACAAGUGCACUUCUGUGCCUGCCUGCUGGGAGUCCAUCCUCUAAAAGUCAGCAAAACUUAAAACAAAACCCCACAAUAAAUCCAAACCAUUUCAGACUCUUCAGAAUCUCA